GAGCAAUACAGCAUUGUCACCUGAGCCGCUAACUGGAAGCCCGCGAAAUUCUUUCCUCGUAGACGCAUGAGACGCUCCGUGAAGUUUUAAGUGUUUAGAAGUGCAUCUAGUGUUUGGUCUUUGGCCGACUGUACCCCCGCAAAGCAAAGACGCGUUUCAGCAACGGUGUGCAACAGCAGGAGAGCAGUGUCUGUGUGUAUCACUGUGUGUGGAUCAUGAGUAGAAACGUAAAGAGUUGCCUAACCUUCAGUUAUUCAGGGGGAGGCUACUGAAAUAAUUUGUGUUUUGCUGUGAUCUCGCACUAAAAAUUGAUAAAUGUUGUGACUCUAUUUUCCCCCUUGGAGCUGAAGUAAACAGAAUUCCUCUGUUGUGGAAGGUUCACCUGAAGGUGUCCCAAUCUCCAAAGUGGAUAUCAUUCCGAUAUGGCCUGUUCUACUUUCCAUUGAAGUCUGUUGCAUUUGCACUAUAGGAAGGCCUCCUGUCUGCAAAAUUGCAAUCCUCUACAGUUUACAAUUUAUCAAAGAGGUCACAUUUCACAGUCUUUCCAGACAAAUGUACCUUUACUAGUAAAAGCGGCGUCAAAAUUUUCAACAGUAACAGUUUCCUGCUCGCACAGCUGAAGGCUGUACAUAAAUGGAUCCCUUUUUUGCACUCUCUUGGUAGGUGAUAUACGGGUGCACUUUGUUCCUGCAGAAAUUUUCAUCUCGUCGAGCUCUUUUCGACCAUCUGCUAUCACAUGAAGAUUUUGCAAGUGGUGUUCCUUGCACCAUAGAGGGACGUAAUGCUGCUUCUAAGAACUAUAGAACCAAUUCCUCCAGGUGUCAUCCUGACGAAAUGCCAACACAUUCAACACAAAAAGUAUUGUCUCAAAAGUUUUUCUCUCUGACUUCUUGCAGCCAGCAGUGUGGACAGUGAGGAAGCACAUAUUGCACGCUGAAAACAUCACCUCAUUGCAUCGUGCACUGACACUAUCUUGUGGUCUCCAGAGACGAGUACAACCUGUGCUAUGGGAAACUGGUACACAUCUUUGUGGAAACUGGCCCGGAGGUGAUGCCAAUUUUUCUUUUUCGCAUAACGCCAUCAACCUUCCUACUAGACCUCAUGCUAUACCAUCUUGAAUCUCAGAAUAUCACUGCUCAACCAUGAUUAUGGAGACGUUUCUGAAGAUCAGGAGUAGAGAUCACAAAACGAAAAACUUGGUGUCAGUAACAUGUCUUGAGGAGCUAAUCAGAGUUGCUGUGGGUCAUCGAAUUUGUCAGGAAGGCGACAUACAGGUGUAUUUAGUGGAUGAGUUAUCACUUCGCUGUAUGGUUGCUGGUGCUGAGAAAUGCCUCGAUGACAUUUUCAUUGUUAAAAAUGGACUAUAGAAACAAGAUCGGUCAACAUGUGUGAGUGCACCUUCACCAAUCCCACAAAUGCCUCUGCUCUCACGAAUUUAUUACCCUUGGGAGAGCCUCAGCAAGACAGUACUUGAUGCAUUGGAAGCAGACAAUGUUCUGCUUCCCUCUCAACGACAGGAAGUGGCACACAUGGCAGCGUCAUGGCCCUGCAUAUCAAUUGAAGGCACCUGGUUGGUAUCACUGAGAACGAAGGGAGCCAGCAGGCAUAAAAAAAUCAAGACGGCUACAUACAUAAAUGUGUGAGGCAGUGAGGGCAGCAGAUGAAUAUAGCAAGAAGUGGGAACAUCUCAUGUGAUACAUAGCGGUCAAAUGUUCCGCCACCAAAGUCAUGCACAAGUUACUUGUAGUCUUUCCAGUAAUUUCCAAAAUAAAGGGUUAUUAUUGAAAAGCUAUCCUCUCUGGACACACAAAACAUGAGAAUUGAACAAUUAACAAUGAAACAAAA